rnacentral:rRNA from 1 species
UAAUACAUGCAAGUCGAACGGACUGUGGUAAUUAUGAUUAAAGAGCUUGCUCGGAGAGAUUAAUUACAAUGCAGUCAGUGGCGAACGGGUGAGUAACACGUGGGAAACCUACCUCUUAGCAGGGGAUAACAUUUGGAAACAGAUGCUAAUACCGUAUAACAAUUAGAACCGCAUGGUUCAAGUUUAAAAGAUGGUUCUGCUAUCACUAAGAGAUGGUCCCGCGGCGUAUUAGCUAGAUGGUGAGGUAAUGGCUCACCAUGGCAAUGAUACGUAGCCGAGUUGAGAGACUGAUCGGCCACAUUGGGACUGAGACACGGCCCAAACUCCUACGGGAGGCAGCAGUAGGGAAUCUUUCACAAUGGACGAAAGUCUGAUGGAGCACCGCCGCGUGGGUGAUGAAGCUUUCGGGUCGUAAACACUGUUAUAAGAAGAGACGUCAGUGAAAGUACUGUUCAUUGAGUGACGUAUCUUAUCAAAGGACGGCUAAUACUGCCAGCACCCGGUAUACGAUGUCCAGCGUAUCCGAUUUAUUGGGCGUAAACGAGCGCAGGCGGUUAUUUAAGUCUGAUGUGAAAGCCUACGGCUCAACCGUAGAAUUGCAUCGGAAACUGGAUAACUUGAGUGCAGUAGAGGAGAGUGGAACUCCAUGUGUAGCGGUGAAAUGCGUAGAUAUAUGGAAGAACACCAGUGGCGAAGGCGGCUCUCUGGACUGUAACUGACGCUGAGGCUCGAAAGUGUGGGUAGCAAACGGGAUUAGAUACCCCGGUAGUCCACACCGUAAACGAUGAAUGCUAGUUGUUAGAGGGUUUCCGCCCUUUAGUGACGCAGCUAACGCAUUAAGCAUUCCGCCUGGGGAGUACGAUCGCAAGAUUGAAACUCAAAGGAAUUGACGGGGGCCCGCACAAGCGGUGGAGCAUGUGGUUUAAUUCGAAGCAACGCGAAGAACCUUACCAGGUCUUGACAUCCCUUGACAAUCCUAGAGAUAGGACGUUCCCUUCGGGGACAAGGUGACAGGUGGUGCAUGGUUGUCGUCAGCUCGUGUCGUGAGAUGUUGGGUUAAGUCCCGCAACGAGCGCAACCCUUAUUACUAGUUGCCAGCAUUAAGUUGGGCACUCUAGUGAGACUGCCGGUGACAAACCGGAGGAAGGUGGGGAUGACGUCAAAUCAUCAUGCCCCUUAUGACCUGGGCUACACACGUGCUACAAUGGAUGGUACAACGAGUCGCAAAGUCGCGAGGCUAAGCUAAUCUCUUAAAGCCAUUCUCAGUUCGGAUUGUAGUCUGCAACUCGACUACAUGAAGUCGGAAUCGCUAGUAAUCGCGGAUCAGCACGCCGCGGUGAAUACGUUCCCGGGCCUUGUACACACCGCCCGUCACACCAUGAGAGUUUGUAACACCCAAAGUCGGUGGGGUAACCUUCGGGAGCCAGCCGCCUAAGGUGGGAUAGAUGAUUAGGGUGAAGUCGUAACAAGGUAGCCGUAGGAGAACC